CCAGUAGUCAUAUGCUUGUCUCAAAGAUUAAGCCAUGCAUGUCUAAGUCCAAGCUGUGUUCACACGGCGAGACCGCGGACGGCUCAUUAAAUCAGUCGUGGUCCAAAUGGGCCAGUGCAAAUCCUACUUGGAUAACUGUGGUAAUUCCAGAGCUAAUACAUGCAACUGAUAUCCCGAAGGCGGUGUUUGGGCUUGCUUGCCUUGCGCUGCGCUGCUCUGACGGAUGCUUUUAUUAGACCAAGCCGCUGAGGACUUGAGGGUUCGCGCUCUCUUGUCUGACUCGUGUGAUGGUGACUCUGGAUAACCAAAUUCUGACAAGCGCACGUACUUCUCUUCUGAGCGAGACGGCGCUGCCACUUUCGAGUGUCUGCCUUAUCAGCUAUCAACCGUUCGUUAUGCGCGACCGAUGGCUUUGACGGGUAACGGGGAAUCAGGGUUCGAUUCCGGAGAGGCAGCCUGAGAGACGGCUACCACGUCCAAGGACGGCAGCAGGCACGCAAAUUACCCAAUCCCAGCAAAUGGGGGAGGUAGUGACGAAAUCUAACGAUGCGGGCGCCCUUUCUGGGGCCCCGCAAUCGGAAUGGGCACUUUCUAAACAACCUGUUGAGAACCUAC
rnacentral:rRNA from 1 species